rnacentral:rRNA from 1 species
GGAAUAUUGGUCAAUGGGCGGAAGCCUGAACCAGCCAUCCCGCGUGAAGGAAGAAGGCCUUAUGGGUUGUAAACUUCUUUUCUGUUUGAAGAAUAAGCUUGUCGUGACAAGUGAUGCCGGUAGGAUAGGAAUAAGCAUCGGCUAACUCCGUGCCAGCAGCCGCGGUAAUACGGAGGAUGCAAGCGUUAUCCGGAUUUAUUGGGUUUAAAGGGUGCGCAGGUGGUUUAAUAAGUCAGUGGUGAAAGUCUGCCGCUUAACGGUAGGAUUGCCAUUGAUACUGUUGGACUUGAAUAUGGAUGAGGUAGGCGGAAUGUGUAGUGUAGCGGUGAAAUGCUUAGAUAUUACACAGAACACCGAUUGCGAAGGCAGCUUACUAAUCCAUGAUUGACGCUGAGGCACGAAAGCGUGGGGAUCAAACAG